UACGUAGGGUGCAAGCGUUAAUCGGAAUUACUGGGCGUAAAGCGUGCGCAGGCGGUUUGCUAAGACAGGUGUGAAAUCCCCGGGCUUAACCUGGGAACUGCGCUUGUAACUGGCAAGCUAGAGUGUGGCAGAGGGGGGUGGAAUUCCAAGUGUAGCAGUGAAAUGCGUAGAUAUUUGGAGGAACACCGAUGGCGAAGGCAGCCCCCUGGGCUAACACUGACGCUCAUGCACGAAAGCGUGGGGAGCAAACAGG
rnacentral:rRNA from 1 species